UGGGAAAUGGGGGCGGGGGGCACCAGAGGGAGCUUUGCACCACGGCGCCAGAUAUGCUUAAGACGGCCCUGUUGGGGACUCGACACAAAUGUAAGCAGAUAUGGCACACUGGUUUUCAUAUGCACCUUUGGAAGACUCAGUUACUCUGAUUAACACUUCCUCAUUCAAAACAUAAAAGGCUGCUUUAGUCCAAGUCAGAUCAUUGGUCCACCUAGCUUGCUAUCAUCCACCACCAUCCCAUGAGUCCUGCCCAGCUUGGCUGCUUCAGCUUGGGCUGAUGGUUUGGAAAGGCUGGUCUACACAGCAGUUCUCCAGUAUUGACCUUCCUCAGCAAUAUCUGGAGAUGCUGGGGGCUAGAUGAGGGAUCUUCGGCUCUGCUGCUGAACCACAGUCCUUCCUUGCCGGCUGCAAGGAGCUGCAAGGAGAAGCCUGGAUCUUUUCUGGAAAUCACCACUGGCGUUGCUCACAUGUCCCACGAACCCCCUCCCCACGCCAAGUGGAUCAUGGAUUAACUCCCACAUAGCUGCCGAGGGUAUACCUUGCUAAUCUGUUUGUGGGCAGACAGCCCAGUUCUUACCUCCAACUCUUAUGUUCUUCUCCGGACCUCAGCGGAGGGACUGAGAUAGCUCAGCAGAACCACCACCCCAGGUCCCCAAGCACCCUACCCCUUGGAGGCCUGGGAAGGGAAUGUGUUCCCUGCGCCUUCCCGGCUCCCCUGGCACCAGGCAGCUCUCAAGGGCACCAGCUUGCAUCCAGUUCUCACAUCCCGUCCCCUUCCCUGCCUGCUGCCGCUGCUGUACAUCGUAAGCCCCUUUGCACCGUUUCUCUGCUGGCUGCACUUGCCCUCAGCUGCUCUCUCUUGCCUCUAAUUAGCUAUUCCAAUGGAGUGAGCCAAAUGGGGCGCUUGCUGUUGGCACAGGAUCUAAACUGGGAUCGCUUGAUAAAUUGCCAACCCAAUCUCUCUGGGCUUAUAUAAUAAUUCUUUGCUCCAGAGAGGAACUGCACGCUCAUUAGUGGUUUCCACUGCUGGCCAGAGAAUGGGCCUGGGGGAUGCCUCUGCACCUGGCCCUUCCCCCACCUCCUGCCCUGGGCCAGCUAUAUAUAGGCCAAGCAUUAUUUACUCUUAGCUACAUAGGGUCUUACCCCUGAGCACAUUUGCUUAAAUCGGUUAGGAUUAUCCUGUAUGACAGCUCCGUUUCGUUAAAGUGUAGCCAGCCACUCCUCCCUUACUUACACUUGCUGUGCAGUGAUCUUAAUAAGCAUUAUAGUGUCAAGUAAACCUAUUGCUAAAACUGCCCUGCUCAAGGCAGUCUCAGUGGGAUAACGCUUUAGAGACAGCACCAGCUUUAGACCCAACCAGGGUGUCAUGCUAAAUCUACUAGUGUGGACCCAAGAUCCUUGACAAACUGGGUUUUUAGGGAGGAGGAGAUUUGAAUCCUGGCCCCAGCAAGGAGCAGUGCCAACCCCACCCCCUCACUUGAUGUGUUGCAACUGGGAAAUAUAAGAACAAUAACUGGUGCCAGAGAUGUUUGUUUUGCUCUUUCUACCCCACCCCUUCCCCCCACCCCUUUUUGGGUCCUGCCUUUUAGAUUGUAAGCCUGCGAGCAGGGACUGCCAUGUUUUUAAUCUGUGCAGAGUUUAUUAAAAACGUAGGUACUUUGUAAAUGAGAAAGCAUAACAAUUGAAAUCAAAAGGGAAGGGGGCAUCCAAUGAAUGUUGGGAAAUUCAGAACAGAUGAAAGGAAGUACCUCUCCCCACACUGUCUAGUGAAACUAUGGCAUUUGCUCCCACAAGGUGUUGGGGUGGUCACCAACUUAGAUGGCUUUAAAAGAGGAUUAGACAAAUGCACAGGGGAUAAGGCUGUCAAUGGAUACUAACCAUCCUAUGUUGUACCUUCACUGUCGGAGGCAGUAUGCAACUGAAUACCAGUUGUUGGGGAAAAUGUGGUUUUGGCACUCAAGUCCUACUUGCAGUCUUUUUAUACACAUCUGGCUGGCCACUUUGAGAACUCAGUGUUGGACAAAAUGGGCCUUUUGUCUGAUACCACAGUUCUCUUCAUAUAAGCUUUCCAUGGACAUACCUGGGGACCCUCGGUGGCAUGAAUACUGCCUCACAAGUACUUCUCUGGGAGCAGAGCAGCACUUAUACCACACAUCAGAUGACCUUUGUCUGGAUUUAGGAAUGUAGCGUAACGGAGUCUUUUAUGUUCGCUUUUAUCAGCACCGCAAUUUUAGGUGUUUUUGAACUAUAUGCUUUUUGUGGGGCUCUGCUGCCAUUUUUGCUCCGUUUUAAUAUCAGCGUUGGUUUGUUGUUGCUAUGUAUUUUUAAAUCAGUUUGCCAUAAGCUGCCUUGUGGGGUCUAGAAAUGGAGAGGCUGGGAAGAAACCCUCUUGAUAAAUAACACAUAUACAGAUGGUAAAGACUGCCUGAGUCUGAUUACAGUGAAACCCAAAAGUGGAUGCAAGAGCUAUUUAAAGAAGAAGGUAUAUUUCUCACUGUUUUUGGAACAGAAAGCUGGUUGACUGCAGAAUUUAUGGUCUGUGCUAAAUCUUGGAUGAUCUUCUCUGUUGCAGGCUGUCAGGGACAUGUCAGGGACCAAGGUAACAAUAAAGAGCAACUGACUUCAGGCUGGAAACCUGGAAAGUCACAGGAGAGAUGCAUACAUAUGUAAGAUGAGAUGAGAUUUCAUGGAACUGGAUCUUGGACUUGGGUGUGAAAGCCAAGUGAUAUUAAAGGUGAACACAGAGGAGAUAGACAUCGCUGCCACCUUUUCCAUAUUGUGUUCUUUGUAUAUGGGUUGCUGUAUUUUAUCUAAAAUUGUUUUGGAAAUUCAGGAGUACCCAUAUUUUAUUUUAUAUCAUUUAGCCUUUGAGGUCAAUCCAUUUCUUAUUUGUUUUAGUGAUGAUAAAAUUACAUUGACAUCGUUGGAAUGCAUCGUGAGAUAAGGCUAGGUGUGGUAGCCCUUAUCCACUCCCUUGAUUUCUUGUAAAAAAUAAUAAUAAUAGCCAGCCUGGACCAUUUUUUAUUUUUUUUACACAAACACAAACUUUUAAAGUAUCAUUUACCAUUUCUUGAGUCAAUUGGGUGGAAGUCAAAUUGGAAGCAAUUGGGAAGGAUAUAAAAUUUUAGGUAUUAUCAUCAUUUGAAUAAACACAGUUAUGAAGUUGAAAGAUGUAGUUUAUCCCAUCAACCCAAGGCUCCUAACUUUUUGUAAGAGUAUAAUUUAAAAUGUAUAAUUUAUUCAAUUUAUAUGGGCUUUUUACCCCUAAAAAUUAGUCCUACAAUGUGGAAUAGGUAUUUGCUGAAGCUUAAUUUGCUCCAUUGGGCCUAUAUUGUGGUACAUGAUCUAUGAUUUAUUGAGAUUGGUUUUAAGGCCUGCCAUUUUUCCAAACUGACCUAAUUCUGAUUUUAGCAUUGGUGAGGUGUCCAGUGGAUUAGUUAACAUGCAAAUCAUGUCAUCAGCAUAAAUGCUCUUCAUCCUUUCCUCAAUCACCGCUAAUAUGAGGGUUGAGUUGCAGCGAAAUUGCUAAAGGUUCUAGAGAAAAGGGAAAGAACAGUGAGGACAGAAUAUACUGUAUCAUUUAUCUUGCAUCUGAUGGACAACGUGGUUCAAAGCAUCUGGAGGGCACUAGGAUGGUAAAGGCUGGGCUAUAGUAUCAAUUUUGAAACCAUCUUCUGCCCCUCGCCUGGUCAGAGAACGUUCUAGGGUCUUUUUAACAUUCUGGUAGGUUUUAUUACAUUCUAUGCUAGGAAUGUGCUGCUCUUUUUCAGUUAGUGUGUCUAGGAUUUGGGAAUCAUUCUGAAAUGUCGGCCAAAUUAUCACUUGUUUUGCGGGGAAAUAACAUUUUCCCAGCAAUAAAUAGCUUUUCUUGUUGUUGCUGGUAAAGAAAAAAAGAAAGGAAAGUGUUUCUUCUUCCAGACAGCAUGUCAAUUGCAGCAGCAUGCUUGGUGUGGAAUGUGGUUCUGGCAUGUCAGAAGCACUUUUUGGUUAAUGUCAGUGAUGUCACUGGUGACAAGCACCACUCUUCCCCACCCCCUGGUGGUACUUUUAAAGUUGUUGUUGUUUUAAAAAAACAUGUUUCUUUAAAAAAAAAUCUUUUCAGGAGUUAAAGGUCUUUAAUGAGAUUUCCUUCUGUAGCAUAACAGCAGGAGUGCCAACUGCAGCCUUGUUAAAUGUGUAACGAGCUGGGCGAACCCCAUCAAGACUAUUUCCUCCCCUGCAAUAUUGUCCUGACAUUUCCUAAUAAAUUAUAAUCAUAAUAAUA